UACGUAGGGUCCGAGCGUUGUCCGGAAUUAUUGGGCGUAAAGGGCUCGUAGGCGGUUCGUCACGUCGGGAGUGAAAACUCGGAGCUUAACUCCGAGCCUGCUUCCGAUACGGGCAGACUAGAGGUAGGCAGGGGAGAGCGGAACUCCUGGUGUAGCGGUGAAAUGCGUAGAUAUCUGGAGGAACACCGGUGGCGAAGGCGGCAUCCUGGACCGGUAUUGACGCUGAGGGCGCGAAAAGCUAGGGGGAGCAAACAGG
rnacentral:rRNA from 1 species